rnacentral:lncRNA from 1 species
GAUUGUCCUGUGGAUGAAGCAAAGCUCCAGAUAGGCAUGGAGAAAGGCAUUGGGCCCAGGCCCAGGGGGUGCUACCUCUGGCCCUAUUUGCCCAAAAGCCCACUGUCCACUGGUGGGCUUUCCCCAGCCUAGCCCAUCAGGAACAACUUCCUGAUGGUCUCAGGACGUGCUUACCCCAGGAAUUCUCAAGUGUUUCUGUUUGUCUUUCAUUUCUGCCUCUCUUUCUGAGAAAGGGAAGUUGGAUUCCGGGUUGGCUGCCGAGAACCAGGGCUGAAGCCGCCUCUCUAGGUACGCCAGAGGAGAAAGAACAUUGAGAUUUCCGUCCUGGAUUGUCUGCUGAGACCAACCUUGGUCAAGAAGCCUGCCUCCUAUUUAUUGAUCCACACUCUUCACAUCUUAAAUAUUUAAUAAUGUGUUUUGCUGCUUGGUAGAUUUUUUUUGGAAGCCCAAGCUAAUGUCUCUUUGUGCACACCGGUGCAUAUAUUUAAGGACUGAUUGAACGACGGAUGCUGUCUCUUACCAUGUGCUACCUUGAGACUCUUCAGGUAAGAAGGCUGUGGCAGCUGCUCUUCCUGAAGCAUGAGGCAAAUAACCUCUUUAUAUCCUAAGAUGUUCUUUUAAAAAAUUACCAUAUCGUCUGCUUAUUCAUUUAUAUCCUAUUAUUGACUUAUCUAUACACACAGCCAUCCUAACAGGACAUCCUGUGCCAUGAAUGGGGAGAACCCCUGCUGAGAUCCUGGUUUCUGUCCUCUGAAGAGAGAACACCUUGACCUUCCUGUGGUAAAGCCUCUCACCUCCUCACUACAUUCUCCCCAUGACCUGAAGCUCUCUCACAAACUUCAACAUAAGGACUUGCUUUUAUUUUGCUGAGUGUCAUGUGGCCAUCUUAAUUUUCACCUGCAAGCAGAGCUGUAGACAUGGGAUAGUCUCAUGGACAGUCUGUUACCGUCUACUUUAAUUCAUAGCUGAUUGAUGAGUUCAUGUUGUCUCUAGGUUCCCACAUCUCUCCUUGCUCCCCAAGCCCAGUCUUGAAAGGAUGGAGUUUUGCAAGGAUCCUUCUUGCUCCCAUUGAGAGUCGGCUGUGAGAAGGACAGUCCAGUGGGCCUCAGCUUCCUCUCCACUGUUAGCUUUUACUCUUACUCACACCAAAUGGCUUUUCUCUACACUUGAGUUCGGAGAGUUCCUGCUGGACAAAAGGACAGGAGAACUCAGAGGGAACAAAUGUUCCGGGCCUGAGGAGGUGAGGAGGAGGGAGAAGUCAAAGGCCAAAGAAAGGCAGGGUGACAAAGAAGAGGAGGAGGUCUGGUUUGGAGAGCCUUUCAAAUCCCAAUUUGACCAGAAACAAAGGGCAUUUGACACAUUUUAAAGCAAAAAUAACCAAAAUUAGUAAUUACAUCUACCAGCUUGUUUAUCAACCAUCCAGUAAGUAUCAGCACAUUCUGUCCUUGGACUGUCAACUAAAUUAAGUGAUUGCCUUAAUUAAAACUAUGAAGAGAAAUGAAAAGAAUGCGGUGCAUUCCUGUUAAUGUUUUCAGAGUCUCACCACUACGGUAGAAACUUAGCUAAAUCAUUGCAGGGAAAGCAUUUGGUCAGGUUUUGAAAUACUAUUUGUAGUGACUGCCUAGCUACAGAAAUGGGCAUUUAGAAGGACCAUCUGGAAAAGAUAGAAUUAAAAUUAAAAACUGAAUGGGGCUGGAGGGACGGCUUUGCAGUUAAGAGUGCUUGCUACUCUUCUGGAGAACCUAACUUCAUUCCCCAGAACCCACAUUUGGUGCUCACAACUGCCUGUAGCUCCGGUCCAUGGUGUCUAACACCUUCUUUUAGCCUCCAGGAGCACAUGAACGUGGAACCCCCCCUUUCUCUUCUCUCUUAAAAAAAGUUUGCUCAGCAGACCAAAGUGAAGGGACGGUAUUUGUAUUUGCAAGGACAGGAGUACAGGUGUCCGAAUAGUUGUUAAUUUGCCAAGUUUUGAGCUGCGAGUUUUUCCUUGAUGUGGAUUCCAGGGAAGGAUUAUAGUUUAUCCUUUGUGAGAAACACCAUCUUAUUAUAAAAUGAAAAAAAAAAAACCCAGCCUCCACAGAAUCUGAGUCCUGAAUUUUGCUUCCGGCAUGCCAUCUCCCGUUUACUUAACUAGAGAAAUAAAAUUGGAGGGAAUUUGGCCUUCAGGUUAUAGGGCUGGGAAAUGCUUUGAGAGACCUUCUGGUUGGAUUACUUCUAAGCCCUCCCUGACAGAGGAAAAUUUAUCUUAUUUUUAAGUGCUCCCCAGAGGCAGAGCGUCCACAGACUCCCUUACUAACUCCUUCCAGUGUUUAACAAUCUCCACAUUCAGGAAAUUCCUUCUCCGGUCUUACCUAAGACCCUCUCUGUCCAGCUUAGCCCAUUUCUUUUGACCCAGUCCCAGAGGAGAUGUGGAAAGAAAGGUUACCCUCUUAUACAAACAUCCCUUCACAUGAUUAAAGAUUACUAUAAAAAAAGCCCCAAGUUGUCCAUCUCUGCUCCCUGAUCUCAUGGAACCACCCCACUUCCUUUAGGGUCCUGCUUUCUUUCAGGGUUCCAUCUCGUAGCCUUUUCUUCACCUUUCAGGGGGACUGGGCUAGGUUUGCAUCACCCAAGGUCUGCAAUGUGUGCUGGGAGAGGAGGCAGAACCCGACGUGUGUCCGUGCAUGUUCCCCAGACUCUGAGUGCCUGGCAGACUGGCAUUGAUAAUAUGGAUUUUUAAACUUUUUAUAUUUUCAUAUUAUAAUGGUUUUCAAGGUCAAAUCUAUUAUUCCUAGGUUUGUGAACAUUUCCAUUGGUAUACAUGAACUCUCUAGAUUUUUAAGCAGUGAGGAGGUAUAAUAGUAUAAUAGUACAUAAUAUCCUAAGAAUCACCACUGUACCUGGAGUUCACUAAUAAGAUGUGCUAAGAACCACAGCUGUCCCUUGGUCUUCACUGGAGAUGGGUUACAGGGUCCCUUUCUCUGCCCUUAGAUAUUCAAAUUUUCAGAAAUUCAGGUUCUUUAUAAAUGACGCACUGAUGUGCUGCUGUAUGUCAGACAUUUCCUUCAUAUACUUUACAUUAUCUCUAGAUUCCUAGUUAGGCCUAAGACAACAUGAAUGCUAUCUAAACAAUUUCUAUACUGCAUUGUUUAAGAACAUGCUUGUGUUUCUGGAUGGCUGUAAAGUGUCACAAAACAAAACCCCAAAUUAUGAGUCUGGGAAAGUGAAUGGUAGUUAUGAGGGGAGGUUGACAGCGAUGGGAGGGAGAUGAGACAGAAGAGUAGGGAGAGCUUAAUCAUAAUAUAUUGUAUACAUGUAUAAAAUGUCAAUUAAUAUACCAAUAAGAAGAAAACAAUUUCCUGA